UCCUAACCACCACCCUCAACACACAAUUGCUCUUUUCGUAGGUUAAUGAUGAACUUGUACUUGAAGCUGCGGUGUGACCUGCCCCCAAAGAGUUUCUCUCAGGAGUUGAGCAGUCCGGACCAGAGUGCUGAACUGAAGCCAAAAAACAAGGCUGUCCACUGGGAGAUCCCUCGCUUCCGUGGGGGGCGCCCAGCUCUCCGCCCUGUUCAAGCUGGAGGUCCCUGGCCUUAGCUCUGCCUCAUUACAGGAAGUAGGACCGGUCAGUCUGAGCUUUGAGCUAUCGAAGUACACCUGCCCAGGACUGCAAAUUAGAUUCCUCUGCCUGUUCCCGUCAGACUCGUGUACCAUCCGUAUCUGAUGCGGACAUGCAGUGCACACAGACAAACCAUCUAUCACUCAGAAUCUGGUCUACUCUCAAUAUGGAUGUGAACCCUGAUCUUGACUGCCUGAUAAAGUCAAGGGACUUUUGUUUGACAUGUUAAUUCUGUGUAUUGGAGUGACCCAAUAGAAAUGCAUCUACUAAACCAAAAAAGCUACACCUACAUUAUAUUAUGUCAUAUGGGAAACUAUUCAGGAAAAUCUAUGAAUGUGCAUAGAAACUUUCAGCACCCUUCCUGUUUUUCAAAUGUAUUUUAUUUAACCUUUAUUUAACCAGGUAGGCCAGUUGAGAACAAGUUCUCAUUUACUA